rnacentral:misc_RNA from 1 species
CUGCAGCCGUCCCGAGCUGUGCAUUUCGUGAGGUGAACUACGUCUUUUCGCACGUACUCCCCCUUAACCAUUUGGCAUCACGGGUUGUUGUGGCUGCCGUUUGCUCGCGUUGCCGUGUUGCUUCUCCACCACCGAAAUUUUCUCGUGCGCCGUACGCCAACCAUCGCUCUCUGCACCUACGCGCCCACGCACCCCCGUGCCCCCCGCGAGGCCCUCCGAAAAGCGCGCAGACGCCACCCCAUCGCUUCACAGCGCCUGCGGGCUGCGAAGAGGAACCAGGAGUGUAACCUUACUCGCAGUGUGGCGCCUGUGCAGAACCGCGCGUGCGGAGUUGCGAAAUGAGCGGCUCGGACGAUGAUGUAGUCAUUAUUGACUCAUCCUCGCCGUCCACCUCCGCCUCGCCCGGGAGUCUUGGCAUCCGUGGGGGCCUGCCGGGGCUAAACGAGAGCAAUGACGACUCCCAUGUCGCGGUGGCGCAUAAUACAUCGAGGGCAGCGGCUCUUCCGUCAUCUUCCGCUGGUGUCACUGAGGUCGGUGUGCCGCGACAGGCCACCACCGUGGUCGAUGCGGUGUGUCAUGACUUGGGGGCGAGGAUCAACGCUCUUCCUCCGCUGCGUGCACAGGCAGACACCCAGACAGACCCAGGCGGCGGCGCCGGAGCCGCUGCUUUCGAUGGUGCCGCCUCAUUGCACCGUCGCCUUCUCGACAUGGAGGCAGCGCUCGGCAUCCGUGCACCUGCACCGGCUAGUGCGCCUGUGUCUAGAGCGCGGAGCGCAAUGAGGGAGAUCGUCAACUCCUGGCGUGAGGCAGCCGGCAUGUGGAAGCGCCUUCGGGCGGACGACAAGACGGGAGACGAUGCAGAGAUGGACGCCAUCAAACGCGUGAAGCGAGAAGGCGGUGGCGAGGCGGAGGUAUGGCAGCGUCUUCGCGAUCCCCCACCGGCUCGUCCAAGUGACAUCCCGGCGUGGGCGGUUGGACUCGAAGCCGUUUUAGAGCGCUGUCGAGGGCUUCUGGAGUCGCCCAACUUUGCUGUUGCCGCGCGGCAACAGGAGCGAAGUCGAUCCCUCCGUGCUGCUCUCACUGUGCCCUCUGCAACGGAGGCUUUGUCGGCGUCUGCACCGGCGCAGCCGGCUGCCAGCGCUGCGGUCGCGGCGACUCCAGUGGCGACUCUUGACUCCAAUGCAGCUCUACUGCGCGAGGCGGAGCUCAUUUGUUCUCGCGAGCGCACAGAGACCCUGCUCCCCCUGUACGCUGAGCUGCACGCUCUGCGCCGCAUGCGGGCCGAGCGAGAGCAGCAGGCUGCACGCAAGGUAGAGGAGCAGCUAGAGUGGGAGCAGCUGCGUCUGGCGGACAUGCUCGCCGAGUGCGACUCCCAGCUGGAGAUGCUGGACAGCAACUUCUUGGACUCGUGUAAGGCUCGACUGGCUCCGCUGGAGAUGCUGCAACAGCGCAUCGAUGCGCUGCACAGAUUUCGCCGCCAGCUUGAGACCCACGCCGCAGUGAUGUUGCCGUUGCCUUUGAAGGGCGUAGCAGCGGCGUUGACGAAUGCGAUGACUGCCCCGGAGUUGGCCACUCACGCACCACGGCCGAUGGGUCUCGCUGGCGAUGCCCUGUCGCAGCGCAUGAGCGAGGAGUGCGUUACGUGGAGGAAGCGGGUGGAGGGGCUGCAGGCACGACUUGAUGCGCAAAGGAAACGCAACGCUGACCUGCAGGCGUGCUAUAUGCAAGCCAACCUGCAGCUGCAAACCUCCCUGGAUAGGGACAACUACGUCAGCAAAGAGGUCGUGCAUGCUUUGAAGGUGCAGCACCGGGCGGACAUGGAGGCGCUUGUGGAGAAGCUGGGGUGGACUCUCAUCAACAAUACUUUCGACGUGCUCAGUCUGCGGCACCCAGUCUCAGGAGCUACGCUACACGUCAACCACGCGUACUCGACGAUAAACGGACAGGCAUGUGAAGACGUUGUCAAGGCGCUGGCAGCUUAUAUUCUGAAGCACAGCGACGAUACCGCCUCCACGGUGGCACCUGCGGCAGCGCUUUCAGUCAAUGUGUCCGAAGCUGUGAAAGGAGGCACCAUCAGUGAAGGGCAUGCCAGCAGCACUUCCGUGCAUCCCACAGCUCUCCCUGCUCAAGCCUCCUAUCUACAGAGUGGUGCUGCGUCGAUAGACGGAGCGAUGCGUCAGGAGGCGAGCCAGGCUGUGGUGGAGUCAGUGCCGGCUGUGACCGAAGAUGCGGUUGAUCAAGCUGAAUCUGCUUCGCCAAGCCCUUCUGCGCGCAAUGAACGAGUUUCUGCGCUGCCAUCCCCGGGAUCGUCUGCGCCGUCUGAGGCUGAAGUGACCGCAGCGGAAGAACCUCCGAUGCGUGUAGGCUCCGCCUCUAUGGACGAGGAGGUCGCAGAGGUUUCGCCGCACUCGCCGAUAUCUUCCGGGGCUGCAGCGGAGUCGACGGGGGAGGGCACCUACGGGGCAAACGGUGCGCAAGAGGCGCGUGGCGGUGCUGCUGCCUCGUCUGAUGGCGCUGGUGAGAGAGACAAUGACGAAGAUGACGUCGCGGCUUUCGUGGAGGAGGGCGACAGUGCGGACGGCGAUGAGGAGGACGGUGAUGGAGGCGUGAGUGACGCCGAGGAGGAGGAUCUUGCGGGCUACAGCAACCUGCACACAGAGGAGGGUAGUGGCAACACCUCCACUCUGAACGUGUCCGGCAACCUUCCCUCCUCUGGGUCAAAGGGCAGCGAUGCACGAGUGACACCAGUGCAGCCUGCCCUGUACGAGUCGUUCUUCUCAUCCAAUCAAUUGUGGGAGAGUGAAGAUGAGUAAGCGCCACCUUUGGCUGUGACUGUGUACGUGUUUUUGUGCGUGGCUGCCGCUGGGUAGCGUCUUGGAAACCGUAAGGACAGCCGCGACAGAGGUUCGUCAAGACAAACUUAGUGAGCUCGCGCUCUUUCUCUCUGUCUCCUGAGGCCGUGUUGAGACGCAAGCCACAGCAAGUUUCAUGUGUGAGGCGCAUAGAUACAGAGGGCACGCACAGCGGUGUUGCUGUGGCGCCCGGCUAGAUAUGCAGAAGGCGCGAACCUGCCUCUGACUCAUAGUGACACAGCUGAGCCUGACAGGCAGGGCCAAACCUUGCCCACUCCCAAUCGACCUCCACAAUGGCAGGUCCUUUCGUACAUGCUGCACGGUGAGGGGUGUUCAUCAUCGAUCCUGGUUCCGUGUGCUGAUGUCCCGCGGUUGUGCCUGCUGUGUCACCUCUACGCCUAGGGCUUGCGCUUC